rnacentral:rRNA from 1 species
GACUACCCGCUGAACUUAAGCAUAUCAAUAAGCGGAGGAAAAGAAACUAACAAGGAUUCCCCUAGUAACUGCGAGUGAAGAGGGAAAAGCUCAAAUUUAAAAUCUGGCGGUUCUUGCAGCCGUCCGAGUUGUAAUUUAGAGAAGUGUUAUCCGCGCUGGACCGUGUACAAGUCUCCUGGAAUGGAGCGUCAUAGAGGGUGAGAAUCCCGUCUUUGACACGGACUGCCAGGGCUUUGUGAUGCGCUCUCGAAGAGUCGAGUUGUUUGGGAAUGCAGCUCAAAAUGGGUGGUAAAUUCCAUCUAAAGCUAAAUAUUGGCGAGAGACCGAUAGCGAACAAGUACCGUGAGGGAAAGAUGAAAAGAACUUUGGAAAGAGAGUUAAACAGUACGUGAAAUUGUUGAAAGGGAAACGCUUGAAGUCAGUCGCGUUGGCUGGGGAUCAACCUUGCUCUUUUGCUUGGCGUACUUCCCAGUUGAUGGGUCAGCAUCAGUUUUGACCGCUGGAUAAAGGUUGAGGGAAUGUGGCAUCUUCGGAUGUGUUAUAGCCCUCAGCUGUAUACAGCGGUUGGGACUGAGGAACUCAGCACGCCGCAAGGCCGGGUCUUUGACCACGUACGUGCUUAGGAUGCUGGCAUAAUGGCUUUAAUCGACCCGUCUUGAAACACGGACCAAGGAGUCUAACAUGCCUGCGAGUGUUUGGGUGGAAAACCCGAGCGCGCAAUGAAAGUGAAAGUUGAGAUCUCUGUCGUGGAGAGCAUUGACGCCCAGACCAGACCUUUUGUGACGGACCUGCGGUAGAGCAUGUAUGUUGGGACCCGAAAGAUGGUGAACUAUGCCUGAAUAGGGUGAAGCCAGAGGAAACUCUGGUGGAGGCUCGUAGCGAUUCUGACGUGCAAAUCGAUCGUCGAAUUUGG